rnacentral:rRNA from 1 species
GCCUACGGGGGGCAGCAGUAGGGAAUCCUCCACAAUGGACGAAAGUCUGAUGGAGCAACGCCGCGUGAGUGAAGAAGGGUUUCGGCUCGUAAAGCUCUGUUGGUAGUGAAGAAAGAUAGAGGUAGUAACUGGCCUUUAUUUGACGGUAAUUACUUAGAAAGUCACGGCUAACUACGUGCCAGCAGCCGCGGUAAUACGUAGGUGGCAAGCUUUGUCCGGAUUUAUUGGGCGUAAAGCGAG